AUUGAACGCUGGCGGCAGGCCUAACACAUGCAAGUCGAGCGGAUGAAGGGAGCUUGCUCCUGGAUUCAGCGGCGGACGGGUGAGUAAUGCCUAGGAAUCUGCCUGGUAGUGGGGGAUAACGUCCGGAAACGGGCGCUAAUACAGCAUACGUCCUGAGGGAGAAAGUGGGGGAUCUUCGGACCUCACGCUAUCAGAUGAGCCUAGGUCGGAUUAGCUAGUUGGUGGGGUAAAGGCCUACCAAGGCGACGAUCCGUAACUGGUCUGAGAGGAUGAUCAGUCACACUGGAACUGAGACACGGUCCAGACUCCUACGGAAGGCAGCAGAGGGGAAUAUUGGACAAUGGGCGAAAGCCUGAUCCAGCCAUGCCGCGGGUGUGAAGAAGGUCUUCGGAUGGUAAAGCACUUUAAGUUGGGAGGAAGGGCAGUAAGUUAAGACCUUGCUGUUUUGACGUUACCAACAGAAUAAGCACCGGCUAACUUCGU
rnacentral:rRNA from 1 species